rnacentral:rRNA from 1 species
GACGUAGGGCGCGAGCGUUGUCCGGAUUUAUUGGGCGUAAAGAGCUCGUAGGCGGCUUGUCGCGUCGUCUGUGAAAUCCCGCGGCUCAACUGCGGGCUGGCAGUCGAUACGGGCAGGCUGGAGUUCGGUAGGGGAGACUGGAAUUCCUGGUGUAGCGGUGAAAUGCGCAGAUAUCAGGAGGAACACCGGUGGCGAAGGCGGAUCUCUGGGCCUUACCUGACGCUGAGGCGCGAAAGCUAGGGGAGCGAACAGG